rnacentral:rRNA from 1 species
GGCUCAAGCCGAUGGAAGUUGGAGGCAAUAACAGGUCUGUGAUGCCCUUAGAUGAUCUGGGCCGCACGCGCGCUACACUGACAGAGCCAACGAGUUCUUUCCCUUGGCCGGAAGGUCUGGGUAAUCUUGUUAAACUCUGUCGUGCUGGGGAUAGAGCAUUGCAAUUAUUGCUCUUCAACGAGGAAUGCCUAGUAAGCGCGUGUCAUCAGCACGCGUUGAUUACGUCCCUGCCCUUUGUACACACCGCCCGUCGCUACUACCGAUUGAAUGGAAGGGCGACACGCGAUUGCAG